UACGAAGGGUGCAAGCGUUACUCGGAAUUACUGGGCGUAAAGCGUCCGCAGGUGGCUUAUCAAGUCUGCUGUCAAAGAGUGGGGCUUAACCCCAUUAAGGCAGUGGAAACUGAGAAGCUAGAGUGCCGUAGGGGUAGAGGGAAUUCCCGGUGUAGCGGUGAAAUGCGUAGAUAUCGAGAGGAACACCUGCGGCGAAGGCGGGUUGCUGGGCUGACACUGACGCUGAGGCGCGAAAGCUAGGGGAGCGGACGGG
rnacentral:rRNA from 1 species